CUUGGAUGGGGUGGGGAGGCAGCUGUUCCUCAUCAGAGGAGAUCUGCUGCCUAUCAGCACUACUGCCUGUCAGCAGC